rnacentral:tRNA from 1 species
GUGGGUGAAGUGUUAUGGCAGCACCUUCGGCUUGGGACCGAAAAGUGGGAGUUCGAUUCUCCUCACCCGCACCA